rnacentral:rRNA from 1 species
ACAGCAGCAGCCGCGGUAAUACGUAGGUGGCAAGCGUUGUCCGGAAUUAUUGGGCGUAAAGGGCUCGCAGGCGGUUUCUUAAGUCCGAUGUGAAAGCCCCCGGCUCAACCGGGGAGGGUCAUUGGAAACUGGGAAACUUGAGUGCAGAAGAGGAGAGUGGAAUUCCACGUGUAGCGGUGAAAUGCGUAGAGGUGUGGAGGAACACCAGUGGCGAAGGCGACUCUCUGGUCUGUAACUGACGCUGAGGAGCGAAAGCGUGGGGAGCGAACAGGAUUAGAUACCCGCGUAGUCCCUGUCUCUUAUAC